rnacentral:hammerhead_ribozyme from 1 species
GUUCUGCUGAAGAGUCCCAAACUAGGACGAAACAGCUGCCCAGUAC